AAAGAAACACCCUUUAAAAAAAAAAUAGAGAACCCCCCCACCCCCCAGUUUUGAAUUGAGGGUUCCAGGUAAGAUUCCUGGUUAGGCGCAAAGCCGUAUCCAAGGAGGUUGAUGUCAAACCAGAGCCGCCAUUGAACUGCAGUUUUCCUCCUUUCUUCCCUCCUCCCUUACCCAGCAGAAAUCUAGGGUUUAUAUCCCUACCCCACCCCCAAAUAUCAGGGGGGGUCCUUGCAAUUCUUCCCCAUAGAGAUUUGCAAGGUCUGCAUGCUGGAUUUCUGUAAUUUUUUUUUCUUGGAAUAAAUGACUGAAGGGCAGGUAUAUGAAGGGUAAUUUGCUAUGGAGCUACAGGGAGGGGGGGGUCUGCAGCAAAUUGGGACAACACCCUCUUAAAAUAUUUGGAGCAGGGAAAUGAAAGGUAUAUACUGUGAUUCCACGUACAGGAUGUCUACGACAAAAAGUCUCGAGUUCUUAAAGAGUCGUCCUCCAUUAUGAUUGAAAGAGGAAAGGAGCCCUGUUUAAUUUUUUCUUCUUCUUCAUGUAAGAACAAAAGACGCCAUGGCUGCCUCUUUCUCUCCAAACAAAUUUGUUUUUCUGUAUUUGGGUGUUGGCAUUUAACUCUUUCUCAACUAGGUGUUCCAUGAAUAUUUGCCAGCUCAAUAACUGAUGGCUUAUAAGAGUUGCCCAGAAUUUUUUAUAGAUGUCCUUGACGUCUAAUAACUAGGAGGAUCCGGAUAGAGCUAAAGGAGAACAUGUUAGCAGUUUCAGGUACAUUGAACUGAUUCCACAAAAUACCUGAUUCUGUAUGGUGUACUGAGUCCAGAGAAAGGAAGAAACUCAAAAGGGAGACAACGAUUUCCAAAUCAAGAUGGCAGUUCCACUGCUGAGAGGUUCAGAAAGUGAACUCUAGUGCAUGAUUGCUGAGUAUGCCCUUCCAAGAAAGGGAUUCUUUAACAUGGACUACGAUUGUCUAACCUACAGAAGAUUUGAGCUAAUUGUAAUCUUAUAUUCUGUUUUUAAUUUAUUUUUUUAAAUCUGUGUUUCCAGACUCUUGGGAUUAGCAUUCAGUUGGGGAUGAAGGGCUGGAAGGGGCUGAUCAAAUUUUGCAAACAGGAAUGUAUAAAAAUGUCUCUUCCCUAUUUAAUUGGCACAAGUGCAUUGCUAUUUAAAUAAAGUGUUUUUUCCAUAUU